GGGUCCGUAGGUUGGUCGUGCCACCGGUACGUACUGGUCUCACUGAUUCCUCCUUCCUGAAGAACCGUAAUGCCAUUAAUUUGGUGUUGCGGGGAAACAGGACUGUUACUUUGAAAAAAUUAGAGUGUUUAAAGCAAGCUAACGCUUGAAUACAUUAGCAUGGAAUAAUGAAAUAGGACGAUCGAUCCUAUUUUGUUGGGUUCUAGGAUUGACGUA
rnacentral:rRNA from 1 species